UUGUGUGUGUUUGAACUCUGAAAUCCUUGACCUCGGGGACUGCUUGCAAAAUGCGGCUGUCGUCGACGGAUGGCUCUCAUGCGUGUUUACUCCUGCGAGAUGGGAGGCCGACAGGUGGGAGAGUGAGACAGGUGUCGGGCAGGGCGUGUGCAUGAGGAGGUUUCGUCUAUCAGUGCCCUGCUUGCGUCUGAGCACAGCUGAGAAUGAGCGUUCGCAACCCCCCCCACGCAAAGCAUUUCCUCCAUAGACCGCUUUUGAUUGCGAUUCCUCUACAAGACGUAACAUCCACUUCAGCGCAGGGUGACUCACCGGGGCCACAAGCCGGCGAUGAAAUUUAUUGAAAUCGCUUUGUGACGCGUGGACGAAAUCUAAAAGUAAAAGCGGACACACACACACACACACACAAAAUAAUGCAUACGUACGGUCUCAUCUCCAAAAUACUUGCUGCAAUUUGUGACCCCGGAUGAGUCGACGUGUGUUCCAGAAUCUCAUUGUCUGUACGUUGGACUUUUUCACGGGUGAGGUCACGAGGUUUCUCGUCAUCCUUCGGUUUUCACACGCACGCAUACAUAGCGGCUGCAAAUAUCAGCUAUUCUUGUCUCUUUUUCACAGCUGACUUCCAUUGCUUGCUCUCAUCAUGCGGAUCACAAAUAGAAAGGAAGUUCACGUCGAUGUCACCCAAAGCUUGUCUGCUACGUAUCGGGUCACCUGGCCGUGACACCGACAGGAAGUCACAAAGAAUAUCAAGUCAUUUCCCACCUUUUGCAGCUGGGAGCGUUUCUAGCCGUGUACAAGUGGGAUUUUUUUUUUCCCGUCCAUUCAUCCAGACGUCUAUUGCGAGGUUACGGAUGAGGGCUCCCAAUCUCUUCUGUCGCUCCUUUCGGCGGUGUUUGAUGUAGAUUUGAACGUAGCGGGCAGCUGUCGUUGUGAUUACGCGGCGUCUGGCAGCUUCUUUCUAUUAGUGUUGAUUCAGGAGGGGCUGCCAGACAAGCUCCUGAACAGCAGGGCUGUUAAGUGGACAAAUGGCCAGCGUCAAAAUACCUUAACUAUUUCGGGAACCAUUCAAUAUCCAGUUCCGUCUUCACAAUUAAACAUCCAUGAAAUAUA